UACGUAUGGAGCAAGCGUUAUCCGGAUUUAUUGGGUUUAAAGGGUGCGUAGGCGGAUCGUUAAGUCAGUGGUCAAAUUGAGGGGCUCAACCCCUUCCCGCCAUUGAAACUGGCGAUCUUGAGUGGAAGAGAAGUAUGCGGAAUGCGUGGUGUAGCGGUGAAAUGCAUAGAUAUCACGCAGAACCCCGAUUGCGAAGGCAGCAUGCCGGCUUCCUACUGACGCUGAAGCACGAAAGCGUGGGGAUCGAACAGG
rnacentral:rRNA from 1 species